UGAGAUGUAGGUCUAUUGGUUGCGUGGUAGCAUUUUGCCAGAAUCAGUUUGCUUAAAUUGGCUAACUUUUUCCUAAUUGUUCGUAUCACCUUGUCCUGGGAAGCUGUGGUUCUUGUCCGUGUCGCUUGAAACCAAUAGUUCAGCAGCGGCUGUGUGCCCCAGAGGAGGCUAAGCACCUGGUGGCGUGCAUGUGUCUGUCUGGACCCUGAAACACACUUCAGCUAGUCUUCCCUUGUGAUUAUAUGUAGUGGCAACUAUAGUGUCUUAAGUGAAACUGACUUUAACUUGUCUUAUUUAAACUGCUUAUUGCUAAAUUAUUAUUGUGCUGUACUUGAAAUACCAUUUUGUAAUAAAGAAAGCAUUUGCCAUGUAAUCAUA